AACAUGGCUUGGAGAACUGACAUUCCUAGAUUUCCUUCUCUACAAUUUCUCAUACCACCACACUGUAGAAGUCUGAAUGGAAAAGGUCAUUGUGAAAGAUGGUCAUUCAGGGUUCUGUAUAACACGUGGAAGAUACUAAACACGAACUCCUUUCUUGGCAUCUGGCUCUAGUCUGCCAAUGCAGGAAGACCGUCCAGACUGUUCUAAGCAGCUUCUUUUUUCUUCUAAUCAUUCACUGAAGAAAUACAUAUUGGAUGCCUACUUGUUGCCAGAUACAUGAGGCAUUUGGCAUAAAAUGUUUCCUUUGCUAUGGAAAAGCUUUUAAGUUUAACUCCUGCUGCUGCUGCUAAGUCGCU